rnacentral:rRNA from 1 species
GACUAACGAUCAGGCAAGAUACCCGCUG